AAUAGAAAUGGGAUUAGGGUUCAGUAUGUGACCUUUCAGCUUUCAAUCAGAUCUCCUUCUUCCCUUUCUUGUGAGCAGUGGCGGCAUCGGGUUCUUCAUCCCAUUCUUCUCUGAUCGAAACAUUGCGACGCUACCGGCCGGCCACCACCGAACAAACCAUCUCACCCUCUCCGAUUGUUCCAUCUCCGUCUCGCACUCUUCUCUUCGUCCUCAGCUCUCAUCUCUCUCCGUUGAAGACGCUUCAACCGCGUCGUUGCUGACGAUGGAGUUUCAGAUGCAAGCCAAUCGAGAAAUAUCCUCGGUUGCAUAUGAUCUAUGAUGACGAGAUAGUGUGUUGAUGAUGAUGAAGAUGAUAACCGAAAAACGAAAGGGAGAUAUUAGGAGAUGAAGGUUCUUGUAGGUUGAUUGAAAGAUUAUUGAUGAUGAUGAAGCUGCGGUAGCAUGAUGAUGGAGCUGAAGAAGGAUUCUGAAUCGUGACCAGAAACAAAGGAAAUUCAAGAUUGAAACGCUGGUUGAUGGAAGAAGAUGAAGCUCGUGAAAGAGGAGAGGUUUAAAUUCAGAUUUCUAUUGAGAAUUGGUUAGAGGUUCUCUGAGUUUUUUUUGUUACGCCUUUUUUGUUCAUCUUCCUCUCAUCCUUUUGGUUCUGUUUUGCAAGGUUUUUUGUUGUGAUGAUUGGAGGAUGAAGAUGAUGAUUUCAGAAGAUUGAAAGUGUGGAGAAAGAAAAGUGGUGUGGAGAUGGAUGAUCAUGAAGAUUCAGAGAGAGUUUGUGGAGAAAUGGUGAAGAAUGAAUCGAGAGGGGAGGUGAAGAAUGGCUCAAGGCUCUGAUUUAUAGAGAUUCUCAGGAUGUUGGUUUGAUUGAAAACUGCCAGUGUGUUGUAUGCAUUUUUGUAAGGUGUUAGCAUGUUCUUAUUUGUAACCGGUAUGAUGAACUUGAAUGAAAGGUGAUGCUGUUGGUAUUGAAAUGGUGCGCUAGUGAGGUGGUCAUGGCCAGGGUGUUUGAUGCUGUGCCAAAUUUCUGUGAUGUUGAUUCCGUUUCUUAGAAUUGCAGGGUUGGAAGGGUGUGGAUUAUGCAAGCCUAUGGCUCUCGUGCCAAUGGAGCAGUCAUCGAUAGCUGUGGCGUGUCUGAUAGCUGUUGAUGAACGUAUCAUAUGCAUGUGUUCCGGCAUCGAAAACCGCAGCGGCACUGUGUUUAUAUUGGAAGCCAACGAAGCUCGUCCUUGUGAUGAUAAAAAAAUGGAUGGUGAUGACAUAUGAUGCACACGUUCCUUGCUUUGUAACUUUGGAAAUUGUAAAGAGUGUUUUAUUUAUUUAUUUUAUAAGGACUCUGCUCCUGACUUGAAAAUGUAACGAGUAUGGCUUGCACAUGUAAUGGUACUUUACUCUUCACAUAUGACAUUUGAACUUCAGGUUUUCUUCAAUGCUUCAAUCUAAAUUCCCCAAAUAUUUUUCCA